rnacentral:rRNA from 1 species
AGAGUUUGAUCCUGGCUCAGGAUGAACGCUAGCGACAGGCCUAACACAUGCAAGUCGAGGGGUAACAUGAGUGCUUGCACUUGAUGACGACCGGCGCACGGGUGCGUAACGCGUAUGCAACUUACCUUGUACUGGGGAAUAGCCCGUGGAAACGCGGAUUAAUGUCCCAUAACACUACAAUUUCGCAUGGAAAAGUGGUUAAAGUUCCGACGGUACAAGAUGGGCAUGCGUGACAUUAGCUAGUUGGUGAGGUAAGGGCUCACCAAGGCGACGAUGUCUAGGGGUUCUGAGAGGAAGGUCCCCCACACUGGUACUGAGACACGGACCAGACUCCUACGGGAGGCAGCAGUGAGGAAUAUUGGUCAAUGGGCGCAAGCCUGAACCAGCCAUGUCGCGUGCAGGAAGACUGCCCUACGGGUUGUAAACUGCUUUUGUAUGGGAAGAAACGUUGGUACGUGUACCAAUUUGCCGGUACCAUACGAAUAAGGAUCGGCUAACUCCGUGCCAGCAGCCGCGGUAAUACGGAGGAUCCAAGCGUUAUCCGGAUUUAUUGGGUUUAAAGGGUGCGUAGGCGGUAGAAUAAGUCAGUGGUGAAAUCCUGCAGCUUAACUGUAGAACUGCCAUUGAUACUGUUUUACUUGAGUGUAAUUGAGGUAGGCGGAAUGUGUUGUGUAGCGGUGAAAUGCAUAGAUAUAACACAGAACACCGAUUGCGAAGGCAGCUUACUAAGUUAUAACUGACGCUGAUGCACGAAAGCGUGGGUAGCGAACAGGAUUAGAUACCCUGGUAGUCCACGCCGUAAACGAUGAUUACUCGCUGUAGGCAAUACACCGUCUGUGGCUGAGCGAAAGCAUUAAGUAAUCCACCUGGGGAGUACGUUGGCAACAAUGAAACUCAAAGGAAUUGACGGGGGCCCGCACAAGCGGAGGAACAUGUGGUUUAAUUCGAUGAUACGCGAGGAACCUUACCUGGACUUAAAUGUAGAUUGACGUAUCCAGAGAUGGAUAUUUCUUCGGACAAUUUACAAGGUGCUGCAUGGUUGUCGUCAGCUCGUGCCGUGAGGUGUCGGGUUAAGUCCCAUAACGAGCGCAACCCCUGUUGUUAGUUACCAGCACAUCAUGGUGGGGACUCUAACAAGACUGCCGGUGUGAACCGCGAGGAAGGUGGGGAUGACGUCAAAUCAGCACGGCCCUUACGUCCAGGGCUACACACGUGUUACAAUGGCCGGUACAGAGGGCAGCUACUUGGUGACAAGAUGCGAAUCUCAAAAACCGGUCUCAGUUCGGAUCGAAGUCUGCAACCCGACUUCGUGAAGCUGGAUUCGCUAGUAAUCGCAUAUCAGCCAUGAUGCGGUGAAUACGUUCCCGGGCCUUGUA